UGCGUGGUAGCUCAGUCGGUAGAGCGGGGGACUCAUAAUCCUCAUGUCGCAGGUUCGAGUCCUGCCCUCGCAACCA
rnacentral:tRNA from 1 species